rnacentral:rRNA from 1 species
AUACGGAGGGGACAAGCGUUAUUCGGAAUCACUGGGCGUAAAGGACGCGUAGGCGGGUUAUUAAGUCGGGUGUGAAAUCCUACAGCUCAACUGUAGAACUGCAUUCGAAACUGAUAACCUAGAGUAUGGAAGGGGCAGGUGGAAUUAGUGGUGUAGGGGUAAAAUCCGUAGAUAUCACUAGGAAUACCGAAAGCGAAGGCGACCUGCUGGGACAUUACUGACGCUGAGGCGUGAAAGCGUGGGGAGCAAACAGGAUUAGAAACCCUUGUAGUCC